rnacentral:rRNA from 1 species
ACGAACGCUGGCGGCGUGCUUAACACAUGCAAGUCGAACGGAAAGGCCCUGCUUUUGUGGGGUGCUCGAGUGGCGUACGGGUGAGUAACACGUGAGUAACCUGCCCUUGACUUUGGGAUAACUUCAGGAAACUGGGGCUAAUACCGGAUAGGAGCUCCUGCUGCAUGGUGGGGGGUGGAAAGUUUCGGCGGUUGGGGAUGGACUCGCGGCUUAUCAGCUUGUUGGUGGGGUAGUGGCUUACCAAGGCUUUGACGGGUAGCCGGCCUGAGAGGGUGACCGGCCACAUUGGGACUGAGAUACGGCCCAGACUCCUACGGGAGGCAGCAGUGGGGAAUAUUGCACAAUGGGCGGAAGCCUGAUGCAGCAACGCCGCGUGCGGGAUGACGGCCUUCGGGUUGUAAACCGCUUUCGCCUGUGACGAAGCGUGAGUGACGGUAAUGGGUAAAGAAGCACCGGCUAACUACGUG